rnacentral:rRNA from 1 species
GAUGAACGCUGGCGGUAUGCCUAAUACAUGCAAGUCGAGCGGUAACAUGGACUUCGGUCUGAUGACGAGCGGCGGACGGCAGAGUAACGCGUAGGAAUAUACCCCAAAGUGAGGGAUAACUGCCCGAAAGGGUGGCUAAUACCGCAUGUGGUCUUCGGACUAAAGCUUUAUGCGCUUUGGGAAUAGCCUGCGUUGGAUUAGCUAGUUGGUGAGGUAAUGGCUCACCAAGGCUACGAUCCAUAACUGGUCUGAGAGGAUGAUCAGUCUGACUGGAACUGAGACACGGUCCAGACUCCUACGGGAGGCAG